UAUUAUGCUUAAGUAACUAGUUCUCUCUCUCUCUCAACGCCUGCAAUUAAUAGUUCAAUUCACUCUCCAUGGGUGGUGACAGUUGGACUGGCCCCCUAUUUGCCCUUCUAAAAGAUGAAACGGUUAGGGUCAAAGUUGUAGUUUUUCCCUCUCAAAGACAAAGCUGUAUCUGAAACCAAUUUUGCUUUACUCUUGUCAUUAUUUGGUCAGUGUAUAAGGAGGCUAUGUUUCAUCAUGCACAAGGGGGGGAAGGUGAUGGAAACUGGGAAGGUUGUGGGGGACUAGUGGGGAGGGUGGCAAGAAAAGACUGAACGGAGGGUGUGGGUUUUUUUCACCAGUAACGAGGGGAAGCUAGACAAGGAGAGAAUAACCCCAUGAUGAUGAUCCUUCUAAAUAUGCUCUCCUUAUAGGGGGAAUGAACCAUCCAAUCUGAUUAUUACAUUUUUUAUCUUUUUUCAGACUGAAGCUCCACCUUCUCCUCCUCUUCCUCUUCUUUAAAUAGGAGAACCUAUCAACCCUAGUUCUUAUUGUCAUUUACACUCUUUCCUCUUCCCCUCCUCUGCGGUGAAACACAAGGACUGUUUCUUUGCUUUCAUGGGAGGUUUGGCAAAGGGCUUCUUACAGAGUUCAUUGGCAUUCUGUCCACCUCGCACUAUCAUAGAACAAGUCCUUCCUUUUCUUCUAUGGUCUUUCAUGGAGGGUUUUGAUUGCAGCAGUUGUGUGCCGACUCCUGAGGUCAAAGAGUUGAGGUAUCUAGGGUUUUAUCAGCCUGUUUUGUUUGUAUGUAUCCCAGUCAGUAAAGAUCCAUGAUUGGAACCAUUUGUGUAGAUAGAAGGCCAUAUGUAUGUGUAUGUUGAAUUGAUAUUAAAAAUCCAAGUAAACCCCAGCGUAAUUAUCAUCAAAAUCCAAAGGCCAGAAAUAAGAAGAUUUUGUCAGAGUUUCAGGAGAGACCCUAAUGAUGACUCUAUGGAAGGUUUUGUAACUUAGCUUUUUUGUUUAUUGAAAAACAGCUGUCUGAUGCUGUAUUGUAGUGCAUAUAGACAAUCAUUUAGAAUAAUUAAUUAUCAGGUUACUAAUGUAAUUAAGAAAAAAAUUAUGUCCAUGGCCGCAUGCAUGAUUGCCACAGUGUCCUUUAUGAACUCAUUUACAGUUACUAAACCAUUAGGGGCAGCUCCCUCAAACCUGAAAAGGUAGUCUUUGUGAUUGAAAUACUGAAAAUCCUAUUAAUUUUUUUUGAGUUUUUUUGACAUUCCCAUUAAAUAAUAUUCACCCAAUUCAACAGUAGUAAAUGGAUAGCGAUACUUAUCCACUUCCUUUUCCUUUUAUCUGUGAAGCUUGAUGGUAAAUUAUUGAGGGUUCUUGAGGGUGGUCGGUAAUUUUGGUCGUAGAAAACGGGAUUGAGGGUAAAAAAACAAAUAUAGCAGGUGUAGGAAUUGGAGGAUAUUCAUGUUCAUCAAGUUAUCGUCGUUUUUGAGGUUAAUAGGGUAGAUAUAUGGGGCAAAAUUAAGGUAUAUUUUUUUAAAUGUGAUUAUUUAGAAAAUUAUUUUAUAAUAUCAUAUAUAUAUAUAUAGGAAGAUCUUAAUUAAAACCCUAAAAAAAUUAAUGUUU